UACGUAGGUGGCAAGCGUUGUCCGGAUUUACUGGGCGUAAAGGGCGUGCAGGCGGUUUGUUAAGUGCAGGGUGAAAGCUCCCGGCUCAACUGGGAGAGGUCCUUGCAUACUGGCGAACUCGAGGGAGGCAGAGGAGAGUGGAAUUCCCGGUGUAGUGGUGAUAUGCGUAGAUAUCGGGAGGAACACCUGUGGCGAAGGCGGCUUUCUGGGCCUUACCUGACGCUGAGACGCGAAAGCGUGGGGAGCGAACCGG
rnacentral:rRNA from 1 species